rfam:Desulfobacteraceae bacterium 4484_190.2 ex4484_190.2_scaffold_311, whole genome shotgun sequence.
UCGUGCUAGACGGGGAGCUAGCGGUGCCCUGUAACCCGAAAUCCGCUUAUGCGGGGUUGAAAGUCCUUCAGGAGAUCCCUGAUGCGAGUUGAUCCUUCGUUGCCCGGGAGGUGAGAUGGACCUCACGUGACAGACGCUUGCGAACCCCGUCAGAUCCGGGAGGAAGCAGCGGUAAGCACGAAAGUCUGUGUCGUGAUGUGAUCUAUCUUUUACUCCAGGUGGCGAUGACUUCUCGGUCAUGGCUUAACUAAGGAUGCACGG